CGGGAUGUAGUUCAGUUGGUAGAACGCACGGCUGGGGGUCGUGAAGUCUGCGGUCCAAAUCCGCACAUCCCGA
rnacentral:tRNA from 1 species